rfam:Methylobacter tundripaludum SV96 genomic scaffold Mettuscaffold_1, whole genome shotgun sequence.
GGAGAGAUGGCCGAGUGGUCGAAGGCGCACGCCUGGAAAGUGUGUAUACGGCAACGUAUCGAGGGUUCGAACCCCUCUCUCUCCG